rnacentral:rRNA from 1 species
UACGUAGGGUCCGAGCGUUGUCCGGAAUUACUGGGCGUAAAGCGUGCGCAGGCGGUUUCUUAAGUCAGAUGUGAAAGCCCCGGGCUUAACCUGGGAACUGCGUUUGAAACUGGGAGACUUGAGUGUGGCAGAGGGGGGUGGAAUUCCACGUGUAGCAGUGAGAUGCGUAGAUAUGUGGAGGAACACCGAUGGCGAAGGCAGCCCCCUGGGUUAACACUGACGCUCAUGCACGAAAGCGUGGGGAGCAAACAGG